CGGCACCAAAUGUUAUGCGAGCAUCUAAUUGAAGAGACAACUUGAACAGGCUAAGUGCUUCAAAAUGGUGAGAAGAUAAUGAGAAAAGGAAAGAAUCUAUGGAUAAGAAGUAAGGAGAAAAUCGUUGACAAUUGUCAAAAUCUUGCCUCAUUACUUCUCCAGGAAUGAUGUCUAUCCUUUUCUUCAAACACAUUCUGUAUUCUAGGAAUUCUGAAUUAUUUUGGAUUAGCCAAACUCACUAUAAACUCUACUAAUCUUAUCAUAUCUGGAUACUUGAAACAUCCCACAGAACAUCAAGUGGUCUGCUAUAUUAAAGACAUAAUGCAGAGCAAAAAAGACUAGCACACUAGAAGUCUUGGAAGAGAAGCACUCUGGAAUCCUAGAAGAACUACUUAAACUUCUGCAGAAGGAAGUGGAUCUUAGCAACAUAAGAAUCAACUAUGGUAGUACCUGUGAUGCCCCCUCCUGAAAAAAGCCAGCACUAAUUUGAAGUGACGAAGCUCAUAGGGCACAGAAUUUAAGGAGAUACACCCUCUCAAGGUCAUAUGAAUGAGCAUUUCCUUGAAUUUUUUCCUUAGGCACUUCAGUCGAUUCACCCUAGUCCCUGCUUGUUCCAGAAUUGUCUUUCAAAAUGGAAGAUUUAUCCCUUAGCUACUGGGAGUGUUGUUAGAAGAAAAUCUUUAUCUAAGCAAUCCUUAGGAUGGGCUUUGGUUGAAAAAGUGGCCAUCCAAAAGUCAUAACCGCUACCAUUGGCAGCCCAUAACCCAAAACUACUGAUCAACUAAAAAAUGUAAAUGCCUGGCUUCCUCUCCCCAAAUCAGGACAAUUCUGUUGGGCCAUCUCAACAUCAAAGCUUACUGUGAGGUGGCUGAAAGCUUCACUGGGACUGCAUCACAGCUCAACAUUUUCUUCAUCUUAAUACUGCUUCCUUACCCUCUGCACAUGUGUUCAUCACAAGAGAAAUUUCUAAUUACUUUCCUUUUCACUAACCUGUAUUUCAGAGUCUACUUCUUGGAGGAAAUCUUGUGAAACCAAAAAUAAAUAACAAAUACAUUA
rnacentral:lncRNA from 1 species